rnacentral:rRNA from 1 species
GGCUUAACACAUGCAAGUCGAGGGGCAGCGGGAUUGAAGCUUGCUUCAAUUGCCGGCGACCGGCGCACGGGUGAGUAACGCGUAUCCAACCUUCCGUACACUCAGGGAUAGCCUUUCGAAAGAAAGAUUAAUACCUGAUGGUAUCUUAAGCACACAUGUAAUUAAGAUUAAAGAUUUAUCGGUGUACGAUGGGGAUGCGUUCCAUUAGGUAGUAGGCGGGGUAACGGCCCACCUAGCCUACGAUGGAUAGGGGUUCUGAGAGGAAGGUCCCCCACAUUGGAACUGAGACACGGUCCAAACUCCUACGGGAGGCAGCAGUGAGGAAUAUUGGUCAAUGGACGAGAGUCUGAACCAGCCAAGUAGCGUGAAGGAUGAAGGUCCUACGGAUUGUAAACUUCUUUUAUAAGGGAAUAAACCCUCCCACGUGUGGGAGCUUGUAUGUACCUUAUGAAUAAGCAUCGGCUAACUCCGUGCCAGCAGCCGCGGUAAUACGGAGGAUGCGAGCGUUAUCCGGAUUUAUUGGGUUUAAAGGGAGCGCAGACGGGUCGUUAAGUCAGCUGUGAAAGUUUGGGGCUCAACCUUAAAAUUGCAGUUGAUACUGGCGUCCUUGAGUGCGGUUGAGGUGUGCGGAAUUCGUGGUGUAGCGGUGAAAUGCUUAGAUAUCACGAAGAACUCCGAUUGCGAAGGCAGCACACUAAGCCG